AUUGAACGCUGGCGGCAGGCCUAACACAUGCAAGUCGAACGGUAACAGGAAGCAGCUUGCUUCUUUGCUGACGAGUGGCGGACGGGUGAGUAAUGUCUGGGAAACUGCCUGAUGGAGGGGGAUAACUACUGGAAACGGUAGCUAAUACCGCAUAACGUCGCAAGACCAAAGAGGGGGACCUUCGGGCCUCUUGCCAUCGGAUGUGCCCAGAUGGGAUUAGCUAGUAGGUGGGGUAACGGCUCACCUAGGCGACGAUCCCUAGCUGGUCUGAGAGGAUGACCAGCCACACUGGAACUGAGACACGGUCCAGACUCCUACGGGAGGCAGCAGUGGGGAAUAUUGCACAAUGGGCGCAAGCCUGAUGCAGCCAUGCCGCGUGUAUGAAGAAGGCCUUCGGGUUGUAAAGUACUUUCAGCGGGGAGGAAGGGAGUAAAGUUA
rnacentral:rRNA from 1 species